UACAGAGGUCUCAACCGUUGUUCGGAUUCAUUGGGCGUAAAGGGUGCGUAGGCGGUCGCGCAAGUCGGAUGUGAAAUCUCAGGGCUCAACCCUGAAACUGCAUUCGAUACUGCGUGGCUAGAGUGCUGGAGAGGAGACUGGAAUUUACGGUGUAGCAGUGAAAUGCGUAGAUAUCGUAAGGAAGACCAGUGGCGAAGGCGAGUCUCUGGACAGCAACUGACGCUGAGGCACGAAGGCCAGGGGAGCAAGCGGG
rnacentral:rRNA from 1 species